rnacentral:rRNA from 1 species
GGAGCCAGCAGUAAGGAAUAUUGCCCAAUGGGCGCAAGCCUGAUGCAGCCAUGCCGCGUGUAUGAAGAAGGCCUUAGGGUUGUAAAGUACUUUCAGCGGGGAGGAAGGUGAUAAAGUUAAUACCUUUAUCAAUUGACGUUACCCGCAGAAGAAGCACCGGCUAACUCCGUGCCAGCAGCCGCGGUAAUACGGAGGGUGCAAGCGUUAAUCGGAAUUACUGGGCGUAAAGCGCACGCAGGCGGUCAAUUAAGUCAGAUGUGAAAGCCCCGAGCUUAACUUGGGAAUUGCAUCUGAAACUGGUUGGCUAGUGUCUUGUAGAGGGGGGUAGAAUUCCACGUGUAGCGGUGAAAUGCGUAGAGAUGUGGAGGAAUACCGGUGGCGAAGGCGGCCCCCUGGACAAAGACUGACG